rnacentral:rRNA from 1 species
UGGGGAAUAUUGGACAAUGGGCGCAAGCCUGAUCCAGCCAUGCCGCGUGUGUGAAGAAGGCCUUUUGGUUGUAAAGCACUUUAAGCGAGGAGGAGGCUACUUGGAUUAAUACUCUAGGAUAGUGGACGUUACUCGCAGAAUAAGCACCGGCUAACUCUGUGCCAGCAGCCGCGGUAAUACAGAGGGUGCGAGCGUUAAUCGGAUUUACUGGGCGUAAAGCGUGCGUAGGGGGCUUGUUAAGUCGGAUGUGAAAUCCCUGAGCUUAACUUAGGAAUUGCAUUCGAUAAAGGGAAGCUAGAGUAUGGGAGAGGAUGGUAGAAUUCCAGGUGUAGCGGUGAAAUGCGUAGAGAUAUGGAGGAAUACCGAUGGCGAAGGCAGCCAUCUGGCCUAAUACUGACGCUGAGGUACGAAAGCAUGGGGAGCAAACAGG